GGCGAUAUGGCCGAGUGGUCUAAGGCGCUAGAAUCAGGUCCUCCUAGAAUCUAGUCUUUCGGGGCGUGGGUUCGAAUCCCACUGUCGUCA